UUCUUUAAAUGGGGACUUGUAUCAACGGCACCACGAGGGUUAGACUGUCUCCUUUUUCAAAUCAGUGAAAUUAAUCUCCCCGUGAAGAAGCGGGGAUACUCAUAUAAGACGAGAAGACCCCAUGGAGCUUCAAACCCAACUACACCCCUAGCUCUUAUAGCCCCACAACCCCCCCCCC
rnacentral:rRNA from 1 species